GGUGAUGUGGCUCAAUGAUAGAGUGCUUGCUUAGCAUGCAUGAGGCCUUGGGUUUAAUUCUCAGCACUA
rnacentral:tRNA from 1 species